UGCCAACCUCACAGAUAUGGAUGUCCAGAGUGGCAUAGGGGUUCAGAAAUAGGGUAUAGAGCGAUCGCUUUUAAGUUAUGAUUCACAGUUAUGAGGUUAUAAUACUUAAAGGGACAAGCUCCAUUUCAAGUAAUGGCUUGGUGCCUUCGGAGGUACGCCCAGGGAAGCGUUUGCAACAGAACAGUUCCCCCCGCAUGAAUAGGUUCAUUAUUUGGAAGACUUCUCUGCUAUCAAGUCUAAGAGAGCUUGUUAUUCCUCCAGACACCAUGUGGAGAUGCCUGGGCUGCCUGUUGGAGGAUGAGAGACCCCACGGAAGAGAGAUGAGUCAUUGCCAUUGUUUCCUUGCCUUCUCGCACUGGCUACAACCUCCAGC